GCAUGUCUCAGUAUAAGCUUCUAUACGGCGAAACUGCGAAUGGCUCAUUAAAACAGUUAUAGUUUAUUUGGUGGUCAGCAAUUACAUGGAUAACCGUGGUAAUUCUAGAGCUAAUACAUGCGYCCAAACCCGACUUCGUGGAAGGGUUGUGUUUAUUAGAUACAGAACCAACCCAGGCUCCGCCUGGCCUUGAGGUGAUUCAUAAUAACCGAACGAAUCGCAUGGCUAUGCCGGCGAUAGACCAUUCAAGUUUCUGACCUAUCAGCUAUCGUCGGUAGGGUAUUGGCCUACCGUGGCAAUGACGGGUAACGGAAAAUUAGGGUUCGAUUCCGGAGAGGGAGCCUGAAAAACGGCUACCACAUCUAAGGAAGGCAGCAGGCGCGCAAAUUACCCAAUCCUGACGCAGGGAGGUAGUGACAAGAAAUAACAAUACAGGGCAUACAUGUCUUGUAAUUGGAAUGAGUAAACUUUAAAUCACUUUACGAGUAUCAAUUGGAGGG
rnacentral:rRNA from 1 species